GACGGAGGGUGCAAGCGUUGUUCGGAUUGACUGGGCGUAAAGGGCGUGUAGGCGGUUGGUCAAGUCUGGUGUGAAAGCCCGGGGCUUAACCCCGGAAGUGCGCUGGAAACUAGCCAGCUAGAGCGCGAGAGAGGAGGGUGGAAUUCCUGGUGUAGCGGUGAAAUGCGCAGAUAUCAGGAGGAACACCAAUGGCGAAGGCAGCUCGCUGGGACGUGACUGACGCUGAGACGCGAAAGCGUGGGGAGCAAACAGG
rnacentral:rRNA from 1 species